GGAAGCCCUACCCACACACAGGUCCUACCACCCUAAUCUGUGGUCACAUUUCACAGGAAACCAAACCUAAAACGGACCUAGGAGGGGCUUUCUGCUAAAGGACACUGCUUAGCAUUGAGAAUAGUUCACUCCACUCCCUUACGGACUACUGGCUCCCGGAGUUUUCUGCAAUGCUGCCACGGUGUCCCCUCGCAGGAGGCCAACAUCUCAGCACGGGACCUUGUGCACCUCCACGCUCUUCAGGCUGAAUUGAAGAUCCCUCUUAUUCGCAGGGAGCCAAGAACUAUGAACAGACAAUGAUUCCAGCAAGCAGCACAGGUAAAGAAUCCCGGCUUUAAUUCACUAAAGAAUGACGGCCAUUAACAACACCAACGUCAACAGCAAGGAUGAUGAUAAUGAAUGAAAGCAUUAGAGCUUUUCAUCAUGAGGACGCCACCUCCACA
rnacentral:lncRNA from 1 species